CUGGCAAAUGCCCACUCACAUAGUAGCCAGCUCUGGACUGAAGCCAUCAAUCGAAUGGCAUCAUAUAUGCAUCCUCAAGGGGAAAAUGCUGCCUUUGCAGGCCCUGGACCCAGGAGCACACUCUUGAGUCCUCAGGUGUAGCGCAGCAAACAACAGAAAUCUAUUUCUUGGGGUAAGUUUGUAGGCUUUUGAUCAUUGAGACAUUACCUUCACACAGUGCUUUUCUCCCAUGAAUCUUGUUAUUCAUAAACAUUAAUUAAUUCUCAUUAUCCUUAUGACACCUACUUCCCAGUACAAACUUUUAGGCUAGGCUGGGUGGUGCAUCGGACGCUGUGGAUGCUAUAAUUACAUAACAGUUCUCCUUUGACCAGUGCUCAUCCACGUACGUCACGUACACACCAAUGGAUCCUUGUACUGCAGAUCAGACAGCUUCGUCUGCAAAUACUAAGAUGAGCACUUUGGCAUUCAUUCCUUACCAGAACAGGACCACAGUGUCUUCCCUAAAUAUGUGGCCAGUCUCUUGCCCCUUAGCUAAUCCUAGAGUGGCCAGGUAUGAGAAAGUUUUUGCUGUUGAAAGUUUUCAACAGCAGGUGUUUGUUAACCUUUGAAACCAACAGAACAAAGCUAAUAAAUUCAAGGUUGUAAGAACAAAUGUCUUCCAUGUAAUUUAUGCCAAAGCACCCUACUUAAUGUAAAUACUUCAUAGUACAUAGCAACCUUCUGCUUCUCAUAGGACUUACAAUAAAGUGAAUUAGGUGAGAAAUAAGAAUGCCUUUGAAACCACAGGUCCAGACUCACAUCGAAAGGCUGAAUAGGAGAAGCUUUGCCACCUUUAUUUCAGGAUAUUUAAGUCUUUUCUCUGUUUCCUCAGACAAAUUAAAACAUGUACAGAACCAGUUUUCCCUCCACAGUGCAAGCAAGUUCCAAUCUCUUUUCUUUUGUCAACUUUUUGAUGUUACAGAGAAAAUAUUGCAACAAAAAUAUGAAAUGAAAUGUAAUUUGCUUUAUUGCAAAUUAAAUUUGUCUAGCUAUGAUUAGUGUAAGUGUGCAUGUUUUACGUUGGUGUCAUUGAAGAGCACAUAUUUUGUGUUUUACUCUUUUCAUUUAAUAUGGUAUGAUAAACACAAGUCCAGAUAUUGAUGUAAUUUACACUAUUGUCAUUUUUAAUAGUCUAGAAUGAUUGUUUCCAAUCUUUUGCUAUUAUAACCAAUGUUUAUAUCAAUCUAUUUAAAAAAACUACCAUUUUCCUCUUCAGAUUAUUUCUGUGAGGUGUAUUUUCCAAAAUGUCAAAGAGCAUAAGCAAUUUUAUAGCUCUUAUUUCAGCUUACUUGUAUUCUCCAAAAAACAAAUUGAAUCAUUU
rnacentral:lncRNA from 10 species